rnacentral:rRNA from 1 species
AUGCUGGGUCGCCUAACCAGUCGACCUAGUCGCCCACACGCACCCCCUACACCCCUCGGAAAUCUCCUAAGCCGGCAAUACCAACUCGCCUACCCCCGGCGUGCUAGGUCGCCUAAGCCGUCGACCUACUCGCCCACACGGAACCCCCACACACCAUUGGAAAUCGAUCUCAACCGGCAAUACCAACUCGCCUACCCCGGCGUGCUAGAACCUCAUGAUUCAUACAAUUUCAUUGUGAAUUGCCUGGAGAGGUUUCCGCAGUACAAGUACCGUGAUUUCUACAUUCAGAAGCAAGCAUCCAGUUCUACAGGGUACGGGGAUGCAAGAACAGGGGACAAGAUCCAAGUCAUGUUCUGCAAACACUUUGUUACAGGGGCAAUUUUUGCAACUAGAAGAUUAUGGGAGAAGGCCAUGGCAUCCAGCGGUGGCUGGGGGAAGGAGUUGCACGGGGGAUCUGGGCUGAUGGGCGUAGGAUUUUCUGGUGCUGGGUGGAGGGGGAGGAUCAGUGGAUCACGUGAGGGAAAGGAUGGCUGGUUGUCGGGACGUUGCAACGAGAUGGGGAAGCUGUACUUGCCUUCUUUAGCACGUGGGUUUCUCCUAUUUCGUCCCAUCGCGGCCAUGGUCUUCCCUUUUAGUGGUCCGGUGAUGAAUCAACAGCUUGACAGCUUGUCUUUUGAGGAUGAAUCAGCAGCUUGA